CUUCCCAUUUGACUGCCACUUCUUCGAUUUACAGAUUAAGUGGCUAUGCUUAUGGGAUACAGAAAAAAGUGCUAGAGUCUGAAGGAAAAGAUUGUUAAUAUCUCUUUUCUAUAUGAGAUGGCAGAACAUUAUACA
ensembl:snoRNA